rnacentral:rRNA from 1 species
ACGGAGGGUGCAAGCGUUGUCCGGAAUUAUUGGGCGUAAAGCGCGUGUAGGCGGCUCGUUAUGUCGGAUGUGAAAUCCUGCGGCUCAACUGCAGAACUGCGUUCGAAACUGGCGAGCUUGAGUGCGAGAGGGGGAGGUGGAAUUCCCGGUGUAGAGGUGAAAUUCGUAGAUAUCGGGAAGAAUACCGGUGGCGAAGGCGACCUCCUGGCUCGUAACUGACGCUCAGACGCGAAAGCGUGGGGAGCAAACAG